rnacentral:sRNA from 1 species
GCUGGGUGUGGUGAUGCAUGCCUGUAAUCCCAGCAGCAUUGGAGGCUGAGACAGGAGGAUUGUGAGUUCAAAGCCAGCCUCAGCAAAAGAGAGGCACUAAGCCACUCAGUGAGACCCUGUCUAGA